UACGUAGGAGGCGAGCGUUAUCCGGAUUUAUUGGGCGUAAAGCGCUUGCAGGCGGACUGAGAAGUUGGAUAUGAAAGCUCCUGGCUUAACUAGGAGAGGCUGUUCAAAACUCUCAGACUAGAGGAUGGUAGAGGAAGGUGGAAUUCCGGGAGUAGUGGUGAAAUGCGUAGAUAUCCGGAGGAACACCAGUGGCGAAAGCGGCCUUCUGGGCCAAACCUGACGCUAAGAAGCGAAAGCUAGGGUAG
rnacentral:rRNA from 1 species